CUUUGCUUCUUAAAAGCCUAAAUUGUGCCGCCAUCUCGGAGGCAAUGCAAAACUUUUCACACUUGAAACACCAAGGCUUAAUUUAGACUUUUGCGAUCUCUUUCUGCGCUUGCAGCCUGUAAAGAAAAGUAAAGACGUUGUCUUCGAUAUUUGCAAAUAUUACUGUGAAAGAGCCGUAGCUGCAGACGUAGCCGCCAUUCUAUCAUGAUUCUAUGCUGAUCGGCAUCGCCAUCAACGCCAGUUUAUCGUGUGAAACGGGAACUACUGAAAGUGCUGUUUGUCUCGCUUGACGCCCAACAGCACAUGUGAAGUUUAAGAGUAUAAACUGUCUAAAAUGUCCAAUAUGAGAAACAGGGUCAGCAUUCUCGACAAGCCACUCAACAAGAGCAGAACUGACGUCAGCAUCAGUGUGUUCGGUCUUCUGUUCUCGGAAAUUGUUCAGUACUGUCAAAACAGAGUCUACACCAUACCCGAGCUUCAGACGAAGCUGUCCGAGUUGGGAUUCCAUGUUGGCCAGAGAGUGCUGGACCUCCUCUUCGUCCGCGAAAAGAACUACAAACGGGAAACCAAACUCCUCAACAUUCUGCUGUUCGUCAAGUCAUCCGUGUGGAAGACUCUGUUUGGAAAGGAGGCUGACAAGCUCGAACAGGCCAAUGAUGAUGACAAGACCUACUACCUGAUUGAAAAGGAGCCCCUAGUCACCAAGUUCAUCUCGGUUCCCAAGGACAGAGGUAGUCUCAACUGUGCCUCGUUUGUUGCUGGCAUCAUCGAAGCCAUCCUCAUCGGCUGCAACUUUGAGCUGACGCUGUCUGGUACCGUGCCCUGGUGAUGACCAUCACAGUGUCCCCUUCUCAACAUUCCAGCAAGACGCGAAGGACUGCCAGUCCCUCACCACAUCUGCCACAGACAGGAGCCACCACCAGCAGUCGACAGGUGCCCGUGAGGGAUUCCGCUUCUUCACAUAGGCAUGUGACCAAGAAGUUGACCGCUGUAUUUAUGUUGCUAUAGCUUGCUGUUGAAUUGCCAUCACGUUACUACUGGUCU